CUGAAGCUGGUGGAGGAAAGAGGACUGGAGCGAGUCCGAUGAAGGGCGAUUGCGCUUUGUAGAGGCUAAGAAAGCCCUCGUCCACCCCCCACCAGCACCCCGCAGCCUGAGUUACAGGAAAAAGGGAAGGGGGUGGGUGUGUGCGGGGAGGUGGGGUCAGGCAGGCCCGUCCUAGGAACACUCGGCCCCGGAGUCGCACGCACACAGCAACACCCAACUGUCCCUUGGGACGCAGCCAUACGACAGUUUCAGCAGCCACCCCCCCAACACACAACCUGCCACCCACUCACUCGGGGACACCCCACGGUCACCCAGGAACGCACAGCGCGGACGCUUUCCCUCUGCUGGCCCGCGGGACGCGCGGAACGGUGACCCAGGCGCACCAUGCUGUCGCGCAGCCACACAAAGCUCAGACCACACAUAACACACAACACACGUGGAUUCUCAGACACCCACGGCCGCGUGCAGAGGACUCGGACGCAGAGAUACCGGCGCGCGCAGUUCCUGAGGGUUGAGAUGCUAGCCGUGUGCCACCACGCCCUGACCGGUCUUAAUGCCGUGUUUUUCAAGAAUCAACACAGAUGCAGAAAAUCUUACCCCAGGGAGGCACGAGCACCCCAUUUGAUGGAAAAGGAGAUUGGGGCUCAGAGGAAAUGUCUCUGCCCGUGUGCCAGUCUG